rnacentral:misc_RNA from 1 species
UUCUCUUCGGAGAGGAGUGGCGCACGGGUGAGUAACGCGUGGGAACCUGCCCCGGAGUGGGGGAUAACCCGGCGAAAGCCGGGCUAAUACCGCAUACGGCCUAUGGGCGAAAGAUUUAUCGCUCUGGGAGGGGCCCGCGUCCGAUUAGCUAGUUGGUGGGGUAACGGCCUACCAAGGCGACGAUCGGUAGCUGGUCUGAGAGGACUAUCAGCCACACUGGGACUGAGACACGGCCCAGAGUCCUACGGGAGGCAGCAUGUCGGAUCUGCAAGAAAACUCGAGCCAU